GAGCCCCACCUUCCACCCCUGAGCACUGAUGAGUGCCGGCAAUCUGUAAUUCCCGCGUCGCACCUUCCUUGAUGCGUGGCUGAUGGAGACCCAGGUGCACUCGCAGCUAUGUCCUGGUUCCGAGUCCGGCGGUACUGCCCCGGAGAAGGGCGAUUGUUAGUUCUCUAAGUGCGAGGCUGCAGCGCCCUCUGGGCGAGGACACCCAGGGGUCCUCCAGGUGACCUCAGGCAUAACCAUCUGAGGAGCUCCGGUUGAGUUCCUGUUCCUUAAUGAUUCUCUAUAGGGCCUGGACCUCGUGGUUUCCAACACCCUUCAGACUUGUCAGUCCAAAAAGGAUCACAGAGAGCCUGCAGGCGUGGCAAAGAGCAGUGAGAGCAAGGGGAAGAACCAGCCCUGUCUUGCCCUCAAUCUGUAGAUGGUGCCAAAGGACCUUUGCACCUGCAAGGCAGGGGCCAUAGAUGGCAUCCAUCCUUGUUCCUCUGUCCCACAUCCGUUGGCCUGGACUGAGAAGCUAGAUGGCAGGCUCGGCCUCUCAGGAAGUCUCCAGUAUAGACUCUACACUAUGGAGCCAGCCUUCUGGGAAUUCAACAGCCUCCUUUACACAUGCCACCCUGACACCAUGCCGCCAGCACUAGCUCAACAACAAGCACCUGCUUGUGUUUGAACACUUUUGUCCUCAGGAAACUCUCCUGUUGGCAUCUCAGCUACCCUAGGUCUAACUAUGGGCUACAUACAGAUCCCGCCCCGUUCUUGCCUAGAUCCUUGAGGGUCUUGAUAAGGAGGACCCAAUUGCAAGGCUCAGGAAGGUUUAGGACCUAUAAAGCAGGUGCCUCCUAACACAGUGGCUUCAGGACCUGGACUCAGCUCUUCAGUCCUUCCAGCCUGAUAUAUGGAGGAAAAAUAGGACACUUUGGUAUUUUACCUUCCUGUCCUCUCAAAAUGGGGGUGGGGGGAGCGGGAACAGGAAGGGACUGAUGGGGGCAUUUCUUGUUUUAGACAUGGCCAGCUUGAUCUUUCCUUCCGACUGCGUAAGUUUAGCCCAGAUCAAUGAAACACUAUAGGGGCAGACAAGGAAGAGGACUCCUAUAGGAAGACCCCAAGAAAGGCACAUAAAGAAAGGGGGCUAUGGUCCUGCUGAUCUAGAGCCCAGGCACCCUACAUGGCUUGUGAUUCCUCCCUGCCCUCAAUAUGCAAGAGGUUGGAGAGAUGGCUCAGGGAUUAAGAGCACUGACUAUUCUUCCAGAGCACACAGCACCCCUAUGGCGGCUUACAGCUGUCUGUAACUCCAGUUCCAGGGGAUACAACGUCCUCACACGGACAUACAUGCCUUGAUAUGGAUGGACCUUCUAUGUCCUUUCGGUUGGACUCAGGUCAAGUUACGGGAGCUGUGGUUUGAGUUUCCUCGUCAUUCCCAUCAUCAAGCAUCUUGCUGAAGCUUUUUGUUGCUACCUGGCUAGGACGACAUCUCUGGUCGCCUCUCAGGCUGGUCUCCAUCCCUUUCUCAGACAGUUCCCUAAACUGGGCCAUUGAGGUGCCUUAGCCGGAACAGUGCGCUCUUGUACAAGCUUGAUAAACCACACUCAGAUCCCUGGAACCCACCCAAAGGUGGAAUGGGAGAAUCAACUUACAGAGCUGUCCUGUGACCACACAUCCUCCCCUCACACAGUAACAAUAGAUACUUUUUUUUUUAAAUCCCCUAAAUUUAAGAUGCGUUCAUAGCUACAGCAAGUAAAGAUGAUCUUCCAGCAUCUUUUACAGCAGUGUUCAGCCAUGUUCUUUGGAGUUUGCCAUUGCCAGUGGUAAAUGAUCAGAGACAUACAUCCCUCUUUCCCUUUCAUUUUCCCUCCUAGCUAGAAUGCAGAUAUAAUGUCUGUAUACGGGAUAGCCAUCUUUGGCUAUGAAGUGACCUCAGAUCAGAGGCCAUGUAUGGUAGAACAAGUGAGAAGCAGCCUGGGCCCCUGGCCCCCACGGAACAUAGUUCUAACUCUGGUCUGCCCACCCACACUUGCACAUGUCGGCAGGCAUGCUUUUUUUGUUGUUUAAAAUGUUUAUUCAGGAUUUUUUUUAUCACUUGCCAGCAAAUCUAACCCUAAUACACAGAUUAAAUUGGCCUUCCCCGCAUGACUAAGAAGAUAAUCCUAAAAGAGUAUGAGGAGGACAUAUGAGAGGGGAAGAGAGAUGCUCAGAGAGCAGACAGGGAGGAGCAGCUUUGAAGGCGCCGCUGAAAGACUCUUGGAAGCCAGCUAGCCUCUUGCCCAGGAUGGACUACGUGCUAAGCUUUGCAUAUGACUCCAGUCAUCGAGCACCUCCUGUCCCCAAGGAGGAGCAGACAUGACAUGAGUGAGCUUUGCUUAGGAUAGUGGUUCUCAACCUGUGGGUCGCCACGACCCCUUUGGGGUCCAUAUCAAAUAUUUAUGAUUUAUAACAAACAGUAGCAAAAACAGUUCUGAAGUAGCAAGGAAAAUGCGGUUAGGGAGGGGGAGUCCCCACAACACAAGGAUCUGCAGUAAAGGGUCGCAGCAUUAGGUCGGUUGAGAACAACUGGCUUAGAAGAAACCUGUCUGAAAGCUGGAUAGCCCUCUGUCCUCAAGGACUCUGUGGCAUUUCUCCACUGCUU
ensembl:lincRNA Gm4755 uncharacterized LOC110324159